rnacentral:rRNA from 1 species
AGGACGAACGCUGGCGGCGUGCCUAACACAUGCAAGUGGAGCGACGAACCAGGCUUCGGCCUGGGGCAGAGCCGCGAACGGGUGAGUAACACGUGGGUAACCUGCCCUGAUGAUUGGGACAACCCGAGGAAACUCGGGCUAAUACCGAAUGUGCCCUCCGGCCUCAAGGCCGUUGGGGAAAGGAAGCUUCGGCCUCCGCAUCGGGAUGGGCCCGCGGCCCAUUAGCUUGUUGGUGAGGUAACGGCUCACCAAGGCAACGAUGGGUAGCUGGUCUGAGAGGACGAUCAGCCACACUGGGACUGAGACACGGCCCAGACUCCUACGGGAGGCAGCAGUGGGGAAUCUUGCGCAAUGCGCGAAAGCGUGACGCAGCAACGCCGCGUGGGGGAAGACGGCCUUCGGUUGUAAACCCGUUUCAGUUGGGACGAGCUCCGCCGGUGAAUAGCCGGCUGGAGUGACGGUACCUUCGAGAAGAAGCCCGGCUAACUACGCGCCAGCAGCCGCGGUAAU